rnacentral:tRNA from 1 species
GCGGGUGUAGUUUAGUGGUAAAACCUCAGCCUUCCAAGCUGAUGUUGUGAGUUCGAUCUCACUCACCUCGCU